AUGGUCCUCGUCUCCUGCCCACACCAGGAAGGUCUUACUGUCCUUUUGCCAGAUGCAACGGGCUUCGAGCCAGGCCAUGCCCGAGACCAGCAACAGUGGCGGCACCGGCUCGUGGAAGAGGAAGUGGCUGUCAAUGAGCUGCUGUUGCUCCUCCGCAUCCGUCCAGCUCUUAUCCGGGCCCUCCAGGUCGCGGUCCAGGCUCGAGGGCAUCCACCGCGGGUCCCAGCGGAGGCAAAAGCCACGUCCUUGUGCACGACCCUGCACUCACCCAGACCCAUAAUCUGGCUCAACCAGUCUGCCAUCCCACCCAGAAGCAGAAGACAGCAAGAAAACCUCACUUCAACCCUCUAUCAUUCCAUCUCCAACCUGAACGAUGAGUGCUCCCCACUUUGCAACCCCAUACCAACCAAUUUAUCUUUAGAAACUUUGAUCCCCAAAUGCUCUGAUUUGAGUUAUCAUAAAACUCCUGUCUCCCGCACAGCCGGCUCUGCAUGAAUUACUCUUUCUCCAUUGCAAUUCCCCUCUCUAGGCAGGUCUAGGCAGUG
rnacentral:lncRNA from 1 species